ACAAGGACUUGCGGGCAGUUAACGUUUUCCUAACUACGAUAUUGUAACUCGGACUUUUAAACAACCAAAGCUAGCGAAAGAAGGCGAUCGUUAAAAAAAAAGAAAAGAAGAAGGAAUUGCAUACCUUGCGGCGUGAGCAAUAAUGCGUCCGGCACUCUUCACAAUUAUUCUUCAUUAACCUUUCUUAAUUAGAGAAAAGUCAUGAUUACACCUCAAGUUCACUGCGCCUACCACUACCAAAAUAUUUCAAGAAGGAAAAAGACUGCAUGUGAUUUCUCGCGCACAAAAGGACGUUUGACCAUCGUGCGCGGCGACUUCGCGCUCAUCGGAUGCUGAAGCCUUGGUGCCUUGGUGCCCUCAGUCGCUACUCGCCAUGUGUUUCGUUAUGGACAGUGUCGAUUAUUGCCUGAAAAGAAUCCUGAGUGUAUUGGUAACUCUAGCUUUAAUUGCGCUGUUAUACGCCUUCGUUUUCAAGCCGGCAAUCGAAUCUUCAGACGACGACCCACCCCAGGCAUUCAUCAAAGCCUGGAAGAAAGCGUUGAAGACCAUCAAAAAAGAGUCUGAACAAGUGAUGGACAGCAAACAAUUUCGAAACUGACAGUUCAAAAUUCCCUGCUACUAGCACGUGACCAUCGUGAAUUACGCGUGCCGAAGUUACGUACUGAACAUGUGCGACACGUCAGAACAAGAUGUUGGCAGGAUAGGAAGUGAUUUUGCAGCACCUUUUUAUCAAUAAUAAUUGAAAAUAUGAGAUUUCAAAUAUAGGUCAUAUAACGCUACUGUGUGCCAGAUGGUGUCGAAUUAUGUUUAAAGAUUGGCGAAGAGAAGAAGUGUGUUAGUAAUCUUGGAGGCUCAGGCAAAUAGACAUUAAUAUUAGAUAAAGCCGCCAGACGUCGCUACAUGUUCACUUGUUGACUGAAACGGUUGCACUUAAAAUGCGCUACCUUGACCUUGUAAAUAAAGACAUAAUCAAAAUACAAUAAAAAAACU